CUUUCCUUAUUUUCUAGGUGUUGAAUACACAAACACUGACUUAACGGAAAAUUAUCAAUGUGCAUAUAAUUAUAACACUCAAUGAAGCAAAUAGAUAGGAAGAUUCUGUCUCUAAAGUUUAACAACAAAAGGCAAAGUGGUGGAGAUGAUGGCGGGGAUAUGCACCCAGAGAUUCCUGCGUGGAACCGGCUUGAGAGGCAAAGAAUGUGGAGACAAAGUCUACAGUACCUGUUGUUGUUACUGCUUCCACAUCAGUGUCGAAACUCCAUGGGAACAUGGUUCCAGGCUUAGCUAUGGUCAAGGGAGUCUUAGGCAGUACUUGUUCUGCAGGAGCCCAUACUACCCAAGCACAAUGGAAAGAGAGCUGGCAAUGUAGUGGAAAUCCUGAAAAUUCCUUGUCCCUGGCAGAUCCCAAGGGUCAUCGUGGUAAGGGAAAUAUUUUUUAUCUGGGCCUCAGGAAAUAGUGGUCUGGCUAAUGAUCAUAGCAGUGCCGAGGGUUCUGUGAACAGUAUUUGCACAUUGGCAGCUGGUGCCAUCACUGACCUCUGCCUCACAACUCCCUCUACAAGGUCUGCUCAGCAAUGAUAGCUGUGGUUCCUACAGAAGUGAGGUACCUGUGUGGAGGACAGGACCCCAAAACAGGACUUCAAUUUAGAGUAGGGUGAGUUGCAAUAUGUGAAUAAAAUAUUGAUGUGGCCAGCCAGGCA